rnacentral:lncRNA from 1 species
UUUCACUCACCCAACACACAAAAGGGAGAUAGAUCUGAAAAUAGAGAGAAGGGGGAGGGGGAAAAACAGAGACAAAAAGAAAGAGAGAUAGACGGAACAGACCCCUCUUCUACAGAGAACCCUAGCGCCGCCCCUAUCUCACUCUCAUUCUUUCACUCCCACACCCUCCUCUCAUCACACACGCGAAAAGGCACUCAAUAUAGGCUAGAAACAAAACUUUCAAAAGCUCAGAAUUCUUAAAGUGCUAUUUGAAGUUUCGAAAAAAAGGAAAUUAGCUAAAAAAUACAUAGAAAAGCUUCAACAAAGGAUUGAGAUCGGAAAUUAAAAAAAAACAGUAAUGAAAGGGAAUUUCAAAAUAAUUCUAUCUCCUACUGUUCACUCUGCAUCUCCUGGGCUAUCAACACCUCGAGAGUUGUUGUGGGUUUUUUGAGCUUUUCCGAUCUUAGUCGUCGGUUCGAGUUCUUGUCGCAGUUCGACUUGCCGUUUCUGAAAUUUUAAAGCUCCGGUGGAACUUCUAAUAUUAUUGAAGAGAAUUGUUCAAUAAAAGGUUCGUUUCUUAGUUUUUUUUAUUUUUCUUUUUGGAUAUUGAUUCAUAUAAUGUUUCGCUGUAAUUUUUUUUUCUUUCCGAAUUUUCUUCUUUGUUAUCUAUUAAUUUUGGUUGAUGUUUGUCUUAUGCGUAUUGGUGUACUGCUUUCAUUUGGUUAAUUAUAAAGGUUAUAAUGGUUACCGUUUCAUCUUUCUUUAUGUCGGCUAUUUUCUUUCAUUGAUUUGGAUUAUGUGUGAGAAUAUCUCUACUUGCUUUUUUUUUUAGUUCAGAAUGUAUAAUGUUUUGAGUCUUCCAAUUUUGAUUAGAAUUUUUAUUGCUCAUUUGUGAAAGAUUUAAUGGCAGUAGGUUGUGUUUUAGUUUGUGCUAUAACAAAUUGAGUUAUGGGUUUUAGCUUAAUUAUUCAUAGGUUGUUCGGAAAAUAUUUGAGAAAGCCAUAGGAUUUGUUUGAGAAUUAAUUUGGGCAUGUGAGGUUUUAAUUUGAUGUAAUAGACCUAAUGGUUUAUUUUUGUUUGGUCCAAUUUAAUAAGGGUAAAAUUGUUGUUAACUUACUUAUUAAGGAUGUGUUGAACUCAUAUACCUUUCCACAAUAAUACUUUAUCAUAAAUCACGAUCUCAAAACAAUCUCAAAUGUAGUAAUUAAUCAUGAACAUCGUAGCUUGCUUUAGACGCAAAUAAUAAAUCAUCGUGACCAUGGGUACGGUUCCCGUGGCAUGGUCACGAUACGUAAAUCCCAAUUCGAGUGUGCGUUUCACGUGAAUCGAUCAGAACUUCAAACAAUAAUAAUAAAAGUAAACAUGUUGUAAAUCGCGGGUGCAUUUCAUGUGGUGCGGUUUGCAAUGUGUAUCAAAACGACAAGUGUACGACAUCGUGACUUGUUCCAGAAAUAAAUUUCAUAAAUAUUAAAAGCGAUAUAAAAGCGGUAAUGCACAAAAGGUUUCAAAUAUGUAUAAAUCAGAUAACUAGGCCAAUUAUUACUAGUUAAGCGACCGUGCUAAAACCACGGAACUCGGGAGUGCCUCACACCUUCUCCCGGGUUAACAGAAUUCNNNNNNNNNNNNNNNNNNNNNNNNNNNNNNNNNNNNNNNNNNNNNNNNNNNNNNNNNNNNNNNNNNNNNNNNNNNNNNNNNNNNNNNNNNNNNNNNNNNNNNNNNNNNNNNNNNNNNNNNNNNNNNNNNNNNNNNNNNNNNNNNNNNNNNNNNNNNNNNNNNNNNNNNNNNNNNNNNNNNNNNNNNNNNNNNNGACUCUGAUAAAUAAAUAAUCCCAUUUCGAUUAAUGUCACUUAAUUUGGAAAAAUUCCCUUAUCCCAUAUCCUCUUCGGUAAAAAGGAGGUGUGACACAUAGCAGUCCCAUUGACUAGAUUGACCCAAAAGGGGUGCUCCAUUUAGGUGGUCGGAUGAGUGUGAGUUGAGCUUUCAGAAGCUCAAGACUGCUUUGACUAUAGCGCCAGUGUUGGUGUUGCCCACAGGUUUAGGAUCCUACAUGGUGUAUUGUGACACAUUGUGUAUUGGGCUCGAUGCAAUAUUGAUGCAGGAUGGCAGGUGAUUCUAUACAUGUCACGGUAGUUCAAGUUUCAUGAGAAGAAUUAUCUUGUUCAUGACUUAGAGUUAGCAUCCAUUGUUCUUGCACUAAAGAUUUGGAGGCACUAUCUUUAUCGCGUGUCGUGUGAGGUAUUCACGGAUCAUUGGAGUCUACAGUAUUUGUUCAAGCUAAAGGAUCUCAACUUGAGGAAAAGGAGGUGGUUAGAGCUGUUGAAAGAUUAUGAUAUCACCAUUUUGUAUCAUACCGGGAAGGUCAAUGUGGUGGCCGAUGCCUUGAGUAGAAAGGUUAUGAGUAUGGGUAACCUGACGUUUAUUCCAGUUGGAGAGAGGCCGCUAGUAUUAGAUGUUCAGGCUUUGGCCAAUCAAUUCGUGAGGUUAGAUAUUUCAGAGCCCAGUUAUGUUCUAGCUUGCACGGUCUCUCGGUCUUCUUUAUAUGAACACAUCAGAGAGUGUCAGUAUGAUGACCCCCAUUUGCUUGUUCUUAAGGACAUGGUAUGGCACGGUACUGCAAAGCAGGUUAAUAUUAGAUAUGAUGGGGUGUUGAAGAUGCAGGGUCGGAUUUGUGUGCCUAAUGUGGAUGGGCUUCAUGAGUUGAUUCUUGAGGAGGCCCAUAGUUCCCGGUAUUCCAUUCAUCUGCGUGCCGCAAGGAUGUAUCAAGACUUGCGGCAGCAUUAUUGGUAGAGGAGAAUGAAGAAGUAUAUAGUUGCAUAUGUGGCUUGGUGUCUGAAUUGUAAGCAAGUAAAGUACGAGCAUCAGAGGCCUGAUGGUUUGCUUCAGAGGCUAGAGAUCCCCGAGUGGAAGUAGAAGCAUUAGGGUUGUUCAAAAUCAAACCAUAACUGUUAACCGAAUCGAUGGUUUAUUAGCUUAUUGGUAUCGGAUUAUCGGGAUAAUGGAUGGCGAACGGAUUGAGAUUUUAUAAUUAACGGCUUAACAGUUUGGGGGCGGAUUACUCAAUUUUUUUAUCGGAUAAAUCGUUAACCCGUUAAGAAUUUUUAUAUUUACACUUUUACCUUUAUUGAGUAUUCAAAAAAUUUGUUCCAGAGUAAUAGAUCCCACAGUAUACUAUGUACAUGUUGGAUAUGAGAACAACAUAUACAUUAAAACAGAGAAAGUGCAGCAAGAUGCUAUGAUAAAAAAAAAUAGCCAAUGAGAAGUGAUAAUUAAGGUUGCUGCUUCAUUUGGGUGCAGUGAUUGAGAUAGUCUCAUAUCCAACAUGUACAUAAUAUACUAUGGGAUUUAUUGUCAUGUGCACAUAAAAUGCCUCGAAUAUACAUUAGAAAAACAUAUGACCGAGUUGUGAAGCUAGAGCAGCAAGAUACUAUGAUAAAAAAUUUAUUUGGUUUAGCCAAUAAACCGUCCGAUAACCUUCCGAUAAUCGUUAAUCUGAUACCAAUCCGCCCGUUAUCUUAUUGGAUGGUUAGCGUAUCACUAUAUUUAUAAUCCGAUAAGCCGAACUGUUAAGCGUAAUUAUCUGCUCGAUAAGAACCCCUAGGGAGCAUAUUACCAUGGAUUUUAUUGUUGGGCUCCCACAGACUUAGAAGAAGUUUGACGCAGUAUGGGUCAUUGUGGAUAAGUUGACCAAGUCGGCACAUUUUAUUCCAGUGGCAAUUACCAUUCUUCAUAGCGGUUGGCUGAGAUCUAUAACCGCGAGAUCGUACGUCUUCACGGUGUGCCCAUGUCUAUCAUUUAUGAUUGAGGUACGCAGUUCACUUUGCAUUUCUGGAGGGUCGUACAUCGUGAGUUAGGAACACGGGUUAAGUUGAGUACAAUAUUUUACCCCCAGACGGAUGGACAGUCUAAGCGCACCAUUCAGAUAUUGGAAGAUAUGCUUCGCACUUCCUUUAUGGAUUUCGGGGGUUCUUGGGAUCAGUUCUUGCCACUUGCGGAGUUUGCCUACAACAACAUCUACAAGUUGAGUAUUCAUACGGAUCCCUAUGAGGCAUUGUACUGGAGGCGGUGCCGUUCGCCAGUUGAUUGGUUUGAGCCGGGAAAAGCUCAGUUGUUGGGUAUCAAUUUGGUUCAGUAUGCCUUGGAAAAGGUCAAAAUGAUUCAGGAUCGACUUCGCACAGCUCAGUCUAGGUAGAAGAGUUACACCGACCGUAGAGUUCGUGAUGUUGCAUUCAUGGUUGGGAAGAGGGUAUUUCUUCGGGUUUUCCCCAUGAAGGGUGUGAUGAGUUUCGAAAAGAAGGGCAAGUUGAGCCCUAGUUAUAUCUCACCUUUUGAGAUUCUUGAGUGAGUGGGUGAGGUGGCCUACAAGCUUGCAUUGCCACCAAGUUUAUCAGUAGUCCAUCCGGUGUUCCAUAAGUGCAUGCUCUGAAAGUAUCACGGUGAUACGUCCCAUAUGUUAGAUUUCAGUUCAGUCUAGUUGGACAAGGAUUUGACUUAUGGGGAGGAGCCGGUGGCUAUUCUAGUCCGACAAGUCCGAAAGUUGAGGUCUAAGAGUUAUCCUUCAGUUGAAGUAUAGUGGAGAGGUCAGCCGAUCGAUACAACCACGUGGGAGUCCGAGUUUGACAUGCGGAGUAGAUAUUCACAAUUUUUCACCAAUCCAGGUACCUUUCUAUGUUCGUUUGAAGACGAACGUUUGUUUAGAGGUGGAGAAUGUGAUGACCCGAUAGGUCAUUUAUAGUUUUUGCCUUCAUUUCUAUGCUCCGAUACUUUGAUUAGCUCCAUUUUACGUAUCUCGAUUUGCGUGCGUAGUCUAUGUCUUAUUUCAGAAAAUUUUUAUGUGAAAAUUUUAAAAAAAUGCGAAUUUUAACCUUUAAAAUGAUUUGAGUUGACUACGGUCAACAUUUUGCAUAAACGGACCCAGAUCAGUAUUUUGACGGUCCCGGUGGGUCUGCAUCGUGAUUUGGGACUUAGUCAUAUGCCCAAAAUUUAAUUCGGAAGUCCCUAACUUGUUUUGAAUCAUUUUACCGAAAUCUAGCAUUUUUGAAAGUUCAAGAAUUUCAAGGUUUAACAGGUUCAGAUUUUGAUGUUAAAAUUUGGAAUAGUUCCGUAUUGCUAUUUGACACUCAAAAUUUGGUGCAAAACGAAGUUGAUUUGACGUGAUUUGGAAGUCCGGUGGUAAAUUUGCAUGUUCUUGAGUUUCUUUGAAAAUAUCAUUCAUUUUGAUGUUUGAUCCAUAGCUCUAGGUGGUAUUUUGUGUUUUGAUCGUGCGAGCGAGUUCGUAUGAUGUUUUUGAACUUGUGUGCAUGUUCAGUUUGGAGCUCGAGGGGCUUGGGUGAGUUUCGAACGCAUAGCGGAGUGUUUGAUAGAGUUAGGAGUCUGCCGGUGUUUUUUGCACAUGCUUAAGUUCUCGCAUUUGCGAUAGUAGGAUGAGCUAUGUCAGGUUCGCAUCUGCGAAAAAAUUGUUAUAAUUUGCGAUGGCGUUCUGGAGGAGCUGGUUUGCAUUUGUGAUCAAAGUGGUCGCACUUGCGGAAUGUCCCACGUUCGUAUUUGCGAACAAAGUAUCAUAUUUCCAAUGCCAACAGAGGUGUGGGGAGUUCUCUUUUGCGAGGACUUAUUCGCAUUUGCAGGGUUUGCAUUUGUGAACCCCAGGUCGCAUUUGCGAUAUCUGCGCCUCGACAAAAAGAUGAGAAAACGGGACUUAGCUCAUUUCUCACAUUUUCUCAACCCUAAACACCCAAGAGGUAAUUUUUCCAAGAGAUGUUCUUCCUAAAUUCAUUGGUAAGUGACUUUAAUCUAUUCCUUUUCAAUUACUCAUUACAUUCCAAAUGUUUUCAAUAUUAAAUCUAGGGUUUUCAUGGUAGAAAUUAGGGAUCUGGGUAGAAUUGGGAUUUUUGUAAAAUUGAGAUUUAGACCUCAAAUUGAGGUCGGAUUUCAAACCUAAUCACAUAAUCACGCAUGGGGGUGAAUGGGUAAUUGGGUUUUGGUCCGAAUCUCGGGUUUUGCACGAAGCGAGCCCGGGGUUAACUUUUGUUGACUUUUUGGGAAAAGGGUAAAGAUCUUUGUUUUAUCUAUUGUAAGUGAUUUCUCUAGCGUUGUUUGAUGAUAUUAAGUUGAUUUUGGUUAGAUUCGAUUGGUUUGGAGGCGAAUUUUAGAGGAAAGGCCCCGGUUUCGCUUUGAUUUGAUUGCAAAGCGAGGUAAGCAUUGGGUCUAACUUUGAUUUGAGGGAAUUAGGAACCCUUGAACUAUAUGUUAUGUGAAUUGUGUGUGUAACAGUGUAUAUGCGAGGUGACAGGUAUAUAUAUGCCGUCAAAAAAGUUAUUUCCAUGCUUUCCUGUAUUUUAUGAAUUUUCUUAUUCUAUGCCUUAACUGUUACAUGCUUUAAUUGCUUUCUAUGCCAUAACUUGUUACUUGUCAUUAAUUGUUCUUGUAUUGAAAUGUUCGUUCCUUCUAUGACUCUAUGAUUAAUUUCUACUUGCCUUAAUUGUCUUACUUGUACACUUUAACUAUCAUAUAUUUGGCUUGUCUUGUUGCUUUCGUAUUAAUUGUAGUAUUUCUUGAUUUAGUACGGGGUUUCUUUACUACUUUGCUUUCAUAUUCUUUAAUCGUAGAGAUUCUUGUGAAUUGAGUUGUUGAAUUGAUUACAUUUGUUGAAUUUGUUUAUGGAUCGGGUUGCACGCCGUAAUGAUUGUGAUAUGGUAGAAUAAGGGAGGAUUUUAUAUGUGAUUUGAUAUUGUGAAAUAUGGGAGGAUUAUGAUAUUAAUUAUGAUGAUAUUGUGGAUAGGGUUGCGCGCCGCAACAUAUUUUAUAUGUGAUUCUUGAUAUUGAUAUGGUACAAUAAGGGAAGAUUGCGUAUUGUACGGUAGGAUCGGAUUGCGCGCCGCAACGGAUUGUGUGUGUUGUAUUCAUUGUUGUUGUUGUGUUGAUUUUUGGUGUUGUUACAUGAAAUUAUGAGAUCGGUUAUUCUGGGUUCUCUGAUACAAGGAUUGCGCCCUUUUUCAUAAGUUAAUUAUCUUAUUCUUCCUAUUUUCCUUACCUUUUUAUUAUUAUUAUACAGCAUGCAGGUUCUUGUAAGUGACCCUCCUUAGCCUCGUCACUACUUCGUCGAGGUUAGGCUCGGCACUUACAGAGUACAUGGGGUCAGUUGUACUCAUACUACACUCUGCACUUCUUGUGCAGAUUUUAGAGUCGGUCACAUCGGUGGUCAGCAGAUUGCUUGGAUAUGGUGCUUGACGGAGACUUGAGAUACAACUGUACGGUGUUCGCAAGCCUGAAGUCCCCUUCUACAUUAUUCUAGCAAUUUAUUUCAUUGCAGAUAGUUAUGCUUUUAUUUAGACUGUUAUUUGUAAUACUCUAGUCACUCGUGCACUUGUGACACCAGUUUUGAUAUUGUAUCUCGAUAUCGCUGUUAUUUUAGCUUAUUCACUCUAUUUCAAUUUAUUUCAUCUUAU